GACGAACGCUGGCGGCGUGCCUAAUACAUGCAAGUCGAACGAAGCUGUUUUAACUGGUGCUUGCACCGACUUAAACAACUGAGUGGCGAACGGGUGAGUAACACGUGGGUAACCUGCCCCAAAGCGGGGGAUAACAUUUGGAAACAGAUGCUAAUACCGCAUAACCACAGAAACCACAUGGUUUCUGUGUCAAAGAUGGUUUCGGCUAUCACUUUGGGAUGGACCCGCGGCGUAUUAGCUAUUUGGUAAGGUAAUGGCUUACCAAGGCAAUGAUACGUAGCCGAACUGAAAGGUUGAUCGGCCACAUUGGGACUGAGACACGGCCCAAACUCCUACGGGAGGCAGCAGUAGGGAAUCUUCCACAAUGGACGAAAGUCUGAUGGAGCAACGCCGCGUGAGUGAAGAAGGUUUUCGGAUCGUAAAACUCUGUUGUCAGAGAAGAACGUGUGCGAGAGUAACUGUUCGUGCAGUGACGGUAUCUGGCCAGAAAGCCACGGCUAACUACGUGCCAGCCGCCGCCGUAA
rnacentral:rRNA from 1 species